GUAUGCAACAAAUAAUUUUUAGGAGACAUGAUCAUGGUUUCUUAUAUCUGCAGUGCCUGAUAUUUUUAUGGUUUUUAUGGUUAUUGUUGCUUUUCCUUUUGUUCACUUCGUGAAUGAUGCCAUGGCCUUUGGCUAGUGCAAUAAAGUUGAUAAUGAUGAUGAUGAUGAUGAUGAUGAUGAUGAUGACCAAGGAUAAUGGGAGCUGUAGUUCAGCAACACCUGGAGGGCCAAAGGUCGCCCACUCCUGCCUUCAUUCGCAGCUUCCCAGUCCUGCCUUCAUUCUCCCAGCUUCCCAGCACAGUGGGUUUCUAUCACUUGCCAAGAGGGGUGGGGCUUGGGGGGACUUGGUGUGGUGCAGUACAUGGUGAUGGAGCCAUUCCUCACCGGCCACUACUGCAUGAAUUACACUAGCAUCUCUGGUUACUGUUGGCCACAGAGGCUCACCGGAUGCUGUGUGUAGGCAAGCAGAGUUGUCCUGUUGUUGUUGUUGUUGUUUAGACGUUUAGUCGUGUCUGACUCUUCAUGACCCCAUGGACCAGAGCACGCCAGGCACUCCUGUCUUCCACUGCCUCCCGCAGUUUGGUCAAACUCAUGUUGGUAGCUUUGAGAACACUGUCCAACCAUCUCGUCCUCUGUCUUCCCCUUCUCCUUGUGCCCUCCAUCUUUCCCAGCAUCAGGGUCUUUUCUUGGGAGUCUUCUCUUCUCGUGGGGUGGCAAAGUAUUGGAGUCUCAGCUUUAGGAUCUGUCCUUCCAGUGAGCACUCAGGGCUGAUUUCCUUCAGAAUGGAUAGGUUUGAUCUUCUUGCAGUCCAUGGGACUCUCAAGAGUCUCCUCCAGCACCAUAAUUCAAAAGCAUCAAUUAUUUGGCGAUCAGCCUUCUUGAUGGUCCAGCUCUCACUUCUAUACAUAACUACUGGGAAAACCAUAGCUUUAACUAAGGAACUAGCAUUAUUUAAAUCCUAUGCACCUGUCCCAUAAGAGCUAGCACUCACCAUCAUUAUUGUUUUUUUGCUUAUUAUUAAAAUAUUUCAUGCUUAUAUACAGAUAUCUGUGGCACUGCCUUACAAACACUGUUUCCAUAUAGCACCCAAGAUGCUGACAUCUAAGAAUGGGGUUCCAGCUGCCUCCAUUGUUGUACCACAUGCGACUGAGGAGUUUAGGUUUCUUAGGAUGGAAUAUAAUAGUGCUGGACGACAAUAGCUUUGAAGGCUGUGCUUCAAAGUUAUUAGAAAAUUAAAGACAAUGACAUCUUGCUU